rnacentral:rRNA from 1 species
CCUACGGGGGGCAGCAGUGAGGAAUAUUGGUCAAUGGACGAGAGUCUGAACCAGCCAAGUAGCGUGAAGGAUGACUGCCCUAUGGGUUGUAAACUUCUUUUAUAUGGGAAUAAAAUGUUCCACGUGUGGGAUUUUGUAUGUACCAUAUGAAUAAGGAUCGGCUAACUCCGUGCCAGCAGCCGCGGUAAUACGGAGGAUCCGAGCGUUAUCCGGAUUUAUUGGGUUUAAAGGGAGCGUAGGUGGAUUGUUAAGUCAGUUGUGAAAGUUUGCGGCUCAACCGUAAAAUUGCAGUCGAAACUGGCAGUCUUGAGUACAGUAGAGGUGGGCGGAAUUCGUGGUGUAGCGGUGAAAUGCUUAGAUAUCACGAAGAACUCCGAUUGCGAAGGCAGUUCACUGGACUGCAACUGACACUGAGGCUCGAAAGUGUGGGUAUCAAACAGGAUUAGAUACCCUUGUAGUC